CCUACGACUCUAAGGGGCGCGGGCGUCGGGAACGCGCCUCCUCCGUGGCUCGUGCAGCCGCGGUGACUCCGUGGAAACCGAAGGCGAGCGAGGGAGGAAGGCGGGAAGCAUGAAGAAAGGGGCUUCCUGCGAGCGGAAACCGGCGUGGAUGCCGUCGGGGAAGGCGGGAGCACCAAAUGGAUUUCUUAUGGAAGUGUGUGUAGACUCGGUGGAGUCGGCCAUGAAUGCAGAAAGAGGAGGUGCUGGUCGGAUUGAACUAUGUGCUGGCUUAUUGGAGGGAGGAACCACGCCCAGCAUGGGUAUUCUUCAAGUAGUAAAACAAAGUGUCCAGAUUCCAGUUUUUGUGAUGAUUCGACCACGAGGAGGCGAUUUUUUAUAUUCAGAUCGUGAAGUUGAAGUGAUGAAGGCUGACAUUCGUCUUGCCAAGCUUUAUGGUGCUGAUGGUUUGGUAUUUGGGGCAUUGACUGAAGAUGGACACAUUGACAAAGAGCUGUGCAUGUCUCUUGUGGCUCUCUGCCGUCCUCUGCCAGUCACUUUUCACCGAGCCUUUGACAUGGUUCAUGAUCCAAUGGCAGCUCUGGAGACCCUCCUGACUUUGGGAUUUGAACGUGUUUUGACCAGCGGAUGUGACAGUUCAGCACUUGAAGGACUGCCUCUAAUAAAGCAACUCAUAGAUGAGGCAAAAGGCAGGAUUGUGGUGAUGCCAGGAGGUGGCAUAACAGAUAAAAAUCUGCAGAGGAUUCUUGAGGGUUCAGGUGCUACAGAAUUCCACUGUUCUGCUCGAUCUUCUAGAGACUCAGGAAUGAAGUUUCGAAAUUCCUCUGUCGCAAUGGGAGCUUCACUUGCUCAUUCAGAAUAUUCUCUAAAGGUAACAGAUGUGACAAAAGUAAGGACUUUGUAUGCGAUUGCAAGGGACAUCCUAGUUUAGCUUCUGAGAGACGUGGACUCACUGUGAAGACUGAGCGGAACCGUCAGUUCUCCACGUGGCCAUGGAGUGUGUUUCCAAGAAGAAAAAGAAAUUGGAACAGCAAUGCAAUCCUUUUCUCUGCCAGUCUUUGCUGUCGUGGUGGCUAAAUUUAGCCUGUGCUUCUUCCUCAGGGAAUUCACUGAUAAAGUGGCAAAGGUCAACUCUAAGGUAUGAAAUCAGAUUUGGUGGAGAGUCAGUUUAGUCCACUUUUUUUGUAUUUUCAUUUGUAAAAUAAAAAUCCUCAUUCUGUUGUGUUAUAGUCUCAUAUUCUUUUACUUAAUAUUUUCAGUAGUUUAUUAUGAAGGAAGAUUGUUUUGCUUUUCUAUUUCUUGUAGUUUUCCUUUCUAUCAUGUACUCGUUGGAUUUGUUGCUCAGGACAGGGUGUAAAGGUUGCAGUAAAAUGGUAUAGUGUAAAAAUUCCCAGACUUGGGACUUUUUUCUUUGAACUACAUCCUGAUACCCAAAUUGAGGCAAGGUGUGCCUUCCAAUGUGAAAUUUUUUAUUUCUUUGGGUCUUCCAGUAGCCACAAUGAAAAUCGGUGCUGAUAACAACACAGGAGCCAAAAAUCUGUAUUUCUAUCUAAAGGGGCUCAAGGUGUUGGAUGACAGAGUGAUGACCACAGUUAAAGGCAAACCAGAGCUCAAAAAGAAAGUACAUCCAACAUAGUGGUAAUUUGGCAGUAAGUGUUGUGCUGGAGCCAGGUACAGUGGUGUGUGCCUAUAAUUUCAACUGCUAGAGAGGCUGAAGCAGGGGGAUGGCUUGAGUUCCAGAGUUCUGGGCUGUAGUGUACUUUACCACUCAGUUAUCUGCACUAUAUGGUGACCUCUAGCGAUCAGGCGGCGACCCCUGGGUGCCUAAAGAGGGAUGAACCAGUCAAGGUCCAAAGUCAUAUCACUUUAAAGAUAAUGCAGGGAUAUGGUAAACAAUAAAGGCGAAUUGAAGGUUCUGCCAUGACAGGAUCAGUUGCAAAGAAGUUUGCAGAUUUGUGGUUCAGGGUUGCGGGCUAUGCAGGUAGAAUAGCUUGGUUUUGGGGAUUUUGUUAAAUUCACAGACCUCGAAAGCAGGAUUUAAACGUUCCUGGAGUUAGCCAAUAAUCCCAGCACUUAGGAGACUGAGAUAGGAGGAUUGCCGUGAGUUUGAAAUUAACCCAGGCUACAAACUGAGACCUUAUCUCAAAAGAACAAAUAGCAGGGCUGGAGAGGUAACAACAAUUUAGAGCACUGACUCCUCUUCCAGAAGACCCAGAUUCAAUCCCCAGCACCACUGAUGGCUCACAGUCACCUGUAACUAGAGGUCUGGGAGUUCCCAGGCCUUCCUGUGGCCUCCUCAGACACCAGGCAUGCACGUGGCACACAGACUUACAUUCAGGGAAAACACUCGUACACAUAAAAUACAAAAAGACAAAACCAAAUUUCUAGAUGGUGGUACCAUAUAAACUUGCAAAGAAAUGCAAUGUAGUGUUUUAGGCUGACCCUCUCCUGUGCGUGGACUGUCGAAUCCUCCAGAGAUAAGAACUGUUCUGUCGUCUCUGUUUAUUUAAACAAAUUAACAAAGGAUCUAAGAGGCCAUGUGAAUUCCUUGAGAUUUAAUAACAAAUUCAGCUUGUUUAUAAGACCUGGACAUUGGUCUCCUAACCCCAAAUCGAGUUGUCAUCUUUAAGAUGCUUUGGUUCGUGGGUGUUGCACAAAGGACAAUCCUGGGCAAAUGAGACGUACCAGGGAUCAUACCAUAUCUUACAGUUUAGUCAGAAGAAAGCUAAUAUUUUGAACCUUAAAUCCCUCAUUCCUAAACAAGGCAUUAAAAACUAAACUAUCGUUUUUGGCUAGAUGAUGUAUUAAAGCACCAGGCACUCACUGUUCAUUUUUGCCUCCCGUGUUAGCUUUCCAGGACCUGUCUGUUUCAAACCUCUCUCCAGGAGGCAUAGCGUUCUGAAGCCAGCACUCAUUUUGUACACUCCACUACAUGAAUAUAAUAAAAUAAGUUUUAGCCCUUCAAAGUACCACAUCCUGGAAACAAAAAAUGUGAUGCUCUCCAGCUCAGUAAAAUGAUCUUUGUACCUUUUCUUCUGGUCCUCGCCUGUCUGCUUCAAUCCUGGAACUGGCACAGGAGGCCUUGACAAGCAAGGGAAAUGAUAACAAGAGUGCCACUUGUUCCUCGGAGCUGGCUGGUUCUGGAAACAAGGAGCUCUGAAUUGGAUAUGAGGUUUCUUUUUUUCCUUUGGGGUUUUUAUUUUAUUUUAAGAGAUGGUUAUUGUAUAACUCUGAAUAGAUUAAAAUAAUUUUCUCACAAAGUGAUUGAGUUGUAUAUUACAAUAAAGUUGAAAUUUUUAAAAGA